rfam:Streptosporangium subroseum strain CGMCC 4.2132 genome assembly, contig: Ga0079903_1156
CUUCACCGAGCCGAGCCACAGCGGCGUCUCCCUGUCCUGGCCGUAGGUGGCCAGCAACGCCUGCGCCUC